GAUAAACGCUGGCGGCGUGCCUAAUACAUGCAAGUCGAGCGAAUGGAUUAAGAGCUUGCUCUUAUGAAGUUAGCGGCGGACGGGCGAGUAACACGUGGGUAACCUGCCCAUAAGACUGGGAUAACUCCGGGAAACCGGGGCUAAUACCGGAUAACAUUUUGAACCGCAUGGUUCGAAAUUGAAAGGCGGCUUCGGCUGUCACUUAUGGAUGGACCCGCGUCGCAUUAGCUAGUUGGUGAGGUAACGGCUCACCAAGGCAACGAUGCGUAGCCGGCCUGAGAGGGUGAUCGGCCGCACUGGGACUGAGACCCGGCCCAGACUCCUACGGGAGGCAGCAGUAGGGAAUCGUCCGCAAUGGACGAAAGUCUGACGGAGCAACGCCGCGUGAGUGAUGAAGGCUUUCGGGUCGUAAAACUCUGUUGUUAGGGAAGAACAAGUGCUAGUUGAAUAAGCUGACACCUUGACGGUACCUAACCAGAAAGCCACGGCUAACUACGUGCCAGCAGCCGCCGUAA
rnacentral:rRNA from 1 species